GGGUCGGUACUCAAGCGGUCAACGAGGUGACGCUGUAAACGUCAUGACUUCGGUCUUCGGGGGUUCGAAUCCCUCCCGGCCCA
rnacentral:tRNA from 1 species